UGCUUACACAUGCAAGUCGAACGAACCUUCGGGUUAGUGGCGGACGGGUGAGUAACGCGUGAGAAUCUGCCCUCAGGAGGGGGAUAACGGUUGGAAACGACCGCUAAUACCCCAUAUGCCUACUGGUGAAAUGAAUUUCGCCUGAGGAUGAGCUCGCGUCUGAUUAGCUUGUGGGUGAGGUAAUGGCUCACCAAGGCUUCGAUCAGUAGCUGGUCUGAGAGGAUGAUCAGCCACACUGGGACUGAGACACGGCCCAGACUCCUACGGGAGGCAGCAGUGGGGAAUUUUCCGCAAUGGGCGAAAGCCUGACGGAGCAACGCCGCGUGAGGGACGAAGGCCUCUGGGCUGUAAACCUCUUUUCUCAAGGAAGAAGAUAUGACGGUACUUGAGGAAUAAGCCACGGCUAAUUCCGUGCCAGCAGCCGCGGUAAUACGGGAGUGGCAAGCGUUAUCCGGAAUUAUUGGGCGUAAAGUGUCCGCAGGCGGCUUUUCAAGUCUGCUGUUAAAACGUGGAGCUUAACUCCAUCAUGGCAGUGGAAACUGAAAG
rnacentral:rRNA from 1 species